ACUCCUACGGGAGGCAGCAGUGGGGAAUAUUGGACAAUGGGCGCAAGCCUGAUCCAGCCAUGCCGCGUGAGUGAUGAAGGCCCUAGGAUUGUAAAGCUCUUUCACCGGUGAAGAUAAUGACGGUAACCGGAGAAGAAGCCCCGGCUAACUUCGUGCCAGCAGCCGCGGUAAUACGAAGGGGGCUAGCGUUGUUCGGAUUUACUGGGCGUAAAGCGCACGUAGGCGGACUAUUAAGUCAGGGGUGAAAUCCCGGGGCUCAACCCCGGAACUGCCUUUGAUACUGGUAGUCUUGAGUUCGAGAGAGGUGAGUGGAAUUCCGAGUGUAGAGGUGAUAUUCGUAGAUAUUCGGAGGAACACCAGUGGCGAAGGCGGCUCACUGGCUCGAUACUGACGCUGAGGUGCGAAAGCGUAGGGAGCAAACAGGAUUAGAAACCCUAGUAGUCCCAUGA
rnacentral:rRNA from 1 species